rnacentral:rRNA from 1 species
CACAGCGAAAGGUGCUUGCACCUUUCAAGUGAGUGGCGAACGGGUGAGUAACACGUGGACAACCUGCCUCAAGGCUGGGGAUAACAUUUGGAAACAGAUGCUAAUACCGAAUAAAACUUAGUGUCGCAUGACAAAAAGUUAAAAGGCGCUUCGGCGUCACCUAGAGAUGGAUCCGCGGUGCAUUAGUUAGUUGGUGGGGUAAAGGCCUACCAAGACAAUGAUGCAUAGCCGAGUUGAGAGACUGAUCGGCCACAUUGGGACUGAGACACGGCCCAAACUCCUACGGGAGGCUGCAGUAGGGAAUCUUCCACAAUGGGCGAAAGCCUGAUGGAGCAACGCCGCGUGUGUGAUGAAGGCUUUCGGGUCGUAAAGCACUGUUGUAUGGGAAGAACAGCUAGAAUAGGAAAUGAUUUUAGUUUGACGGUACCAUACCAGAAAGGGACGGCUAAAUACGUGCCAGCAGCCGCGGUAAUACGUAUGUCCCGAGCGUUAUCCGGAUUUAUUGGGCGUAAAGCGAGCGCAGACGGUUUAUUAAGUCUGAUGUGAAAGCCCGGAGCUCAACUCCGGAAUGGCAUUGGAAACUGGUUAACUUGAGUGCAGUAGAGGUAAGUGGAACUCCAUGUGUAGCGGUGGAAUGCGUAGAUAUAUGGAAGAACACCAGUGGCGAAGGCGGCUUACUGGACUGCAACUGACGUUGAGGCUCGAAAGUGUGGGUAGCAAACAGGAUUAGAUACCCUGGUAGUCCACACCGUAAACGAUGAACACUAGGUGUUAGGAGGUUUCCGCCUCUUAGUGCCGAAGCUAACGCAUUAAGUGUUCCGCCUGGGGAGUACGACCGCAAGGUUGAAACUCAAAGGAAUUGACGGGGGACCCGCACAAGCGGNGGAGCAUGUGGUUUAAUUCGAAGCAACGCGAAGAACCUUACCAGGUCUUGACAUCCUUUGAAGCUUUUAGAGAUAGAAGUGUUCUCUUCGGAGACNAAGGGGACAGGGGGGGGCANGGNCCGCCCGC